rnacentral:rRNA from 1 species
AAUGAACGCUGGCGGCGUGUCUUAAGCAUGCAAGUCGUGCGGCAAGGUUAGCAAUACCCCUAUAGCGGCGGACCGGUGAGUAACGCGGGGGCGAUCUGCCCUUGGGGCGGGGAUAGCCAUCAGAAAUAGUGGGUAAUACCGAAUACGCGGGCGAGACUGUGGGCUUGUCAUGUCAGGCGCUUCGGCGCCCCCCGGGGAUGAGCCCGGGUCCCAUUAGCGAGUUGGUGAGGGAACGGCCCACCAAGGCGAUGAUGGGUAGGCGGCCUGAGAGGGUGUACGCCCACACUGGGACUGAGAUACGGCCCAGACUCCUACGGGAGGCAGCAGUAAAGAAUAUUCCGCAAUGGACGAAAGUCUGAUGGAGCGACGCCGCGUGGAUGACGAAGGCCGAAAGGUUGUAAGGUCCUGUUGUUGGGGAAGAAUAAGGCUGGGAGGGAAUGCCCGGCUCAUGACGUGAACCGACGAAUAAGUCCCGGCUAACUACGUGCCAGCAGCCGCCGUAA